rnacentral:rRNA from 1 species
UUGACCUCGGAUCAGGUAGGGAUACCCGCUGAACUUAAGCAUAUCAAUAAGCGGAGGAAAAGAAACCAACCGGGAUUGCCUCAGUAACGGCGAGUGAAGCGGCAAGAGCUCAAAUUUGAAAGCUGGCUCCUUCGGAGUCCGCAUUGUAAUUUGCAGAGGAUGCUUUGGGUGCGGCCCCCGUCUAAGUGCCCUGGAACGGGCCGUCAGAGAGGGUGAGAAUCCCGUCUUGGGCGGGGUGUCCGUGCCCGUGUAAAGCUCCUUCGACGAGUCGAGUUGUUUGGGAAUGCAGCUCUAAAUGGGUGGUAAAUUUCAUCUAAAGCUAAAUACUGGCCGGAGACCGAUAGCGCACAAGUAGAGUGAUCGAAAGAUGAAAAGCACUUUGAAAAGAGAGUUAAACAGCACGUGAAAUUGUUGAAAGGGAAGCGCUUGCGACCAGACUCGCCCGCGGGGUUCAGCCGGCAUUCGUGCCGGUGUACUUCCCCGUGGGCGGGCCAGCGUCGGUUUGGGCGGCCGGUCAAAGGCCCCUGGAAUGUAGUGCCCUCCGGGGCACCUUAUAGCCAGGGGUGCAAUGCGGCCAGCCUGGACCGAGGAACGCGCUUCGGCACGGACGCUGGCAUAA